rnacentral:rRNA from 1 species
GACGAACGUUGGCGGCGUGCUUAACACAUGCAAGUCGAACGGAAAGGCCCUGCUUUUGUGGGGUGCUCGAGUGGCGAACGGGUGAGUAACACGUGAGUAACCUGCCCUUGACUUUGGGAUAACUUCAGGAAACUGGGGCUAAUACCGGAUAGGAGCUCCUGCUGCAUGGUGGGGGUUGGAAAGUUUCGGCGGUUGGGGAUGGACUCGCGGCUUAUCAGCUUGUUGGUGGGGUAGUGGCUUACCAAGGCUUUGACGGGUAGCCGGCCUGAGAGGGUGACCGGCCACAUUGGGACUGAGAUACGGCCCAGACUCCUACGGGAGGCAGCAGUGGGGAAUAUUGCACAAUGGGCGGAAGCCUGAUGCAGCAACGCCGCGUGCGGGAUGACGGCCUUCGGGUUGUAAACCGCUUUCGCCUGUGACGAAGCGUGAGUGACGGUAAUGGGUAAAGAAGCACCGGCUAACUACGUGCCAGCAGCCGCGGUGAUACGUAGGGUGCGAGCGUUGUCCGGAUUUAUUGGGCGUAAAGGGCUCGUAGGUGGUUGAUCGCGUCGGAAGUGUAAUCUUGGGGCUUAACCCUGAGCGUGCUUUCGAUACGGGUUGACUUGAGGAAGGUAGGGGAGAAAUGGAAUUCCUGGUGGAGCGGUGGAAUGCGCAGAUAUCAGGGGGGAACCCCAGUGGCGAAGGCGGUUCUCUGGGCCUUUCCUGACGCUGAGGAGCGAAAGCGUGGGGAGCGAACAGGCUUAGAUACCCUGGUAGUCCACGCUGUAAACGGUGGGUACUAGGUGUGGGGUCCAUUCCACGGGUUCCGCGCCGUAGCUAACGCUUUAAGUACCCCGCCUGGGGAGUACGGCCGCAAGGCUAAAACUCAAAGGAAUUGACGGGGCCCCGCACAAGCGGCGGAGCAUGCGGAUUAAUUCGAUGCAACGCGUAGAACCUUACCUGGGUUUGACAUGGAUCGGGAGUGCUCAGAGAUGGGUGUGCCUCUUUUGGGGUCGGUUCACAGGUGGUGCAUGGCUGUCGUCAGCUCGUGUCGUGAGAUGUUGGGUUAAGUCCCGCAACGAGCGCAACCCUUGUUCACUGUUGCCAGCACGUUAUGGUGGGGACUCAGUGGAGACCGCCGGGGUCAACUCGGAGGAAGGUGGGGAUGACGUCAAGUCAUCAUGCCCCUUAUGUCCAGGGCUUCACGCAUGCUACAAUGGCUGGUACAGAGAGUGGCGAGCCUGUGAGGGUGAGCGAAUCUCGGAAAGCCGGUCUCAGUUCGGAUUGGGGUCUGCAACUCGACCUCAUGAAGUCGGAGUCGCUAGUAAUCGCAGAUCAGCAACGCUGCGGUGAAUACGUUCCCGGG